GGCGGGGUGGCUCAGUGGUUAGAGCGCGAAUUUACUGACCGGAAGUUCCGUGGUUCGAACCCGACCUCUGCCU
rnacentral:tRNA from 1 species